ensembl:lncRNA
UGCUUGCAAGUACAUUCAGAUGUUGUUCACAGUAGAGAACUUACAAGGACAAUCACCGAAAAAAUAAAAGUAAAAUAUAUUAAGCUUUUUAUUAAGUUAGUAUAAUUCCUAUGAUGGUUAGUACAUCUCAAUCACAACUGCUGAUGCUUCUUUAAGUUUUUAUAAUCAAUAUAUGGAAGGCAUGCAAUAAGAAGUUCUUUUUGUACAUCCCUUCAGACAACAUUUUUCUGAGUACCCUCUGUGCUUUCUUUGGGGAUGAUUCCCCCAAAACAAAUUGCUUAAGGUUUUAAUUUUGUUUGUAUUUUUCUUCUGAAAUUCUACAAUCUCAUGAAUAUAUGGACUGAUAUCUUGUGAUGAGGAAAAUAUCUCUUGUCUUGUCUUAAAAGGCAAGUUGGCCUGUUUGUACUGAUGCUCAGGCAGUGACUGCAUCUUCAAAUUGUUUCAUGCUUCUUCCUGAGAGGCAAAAGUAGAGACUGUUGAGAGACAAGAAAAAAAUCCUACUUUAUUAAAAUCUUCGUUUAGCUGAAAAUUUGAUCAUAAUGCUGUAAUACUAGAGUCAGCUAAUUUUGAAAACACAAGUAAUCACAUUUUAACUAGUAAAAUGGUUAUUUGAAAGCAAUGUAUAUUUUUAACUAAAAUAGUUGUAGGUAUUGUUUUCCUAUAAAAAAGUCCUAGAAACAUUUGCACAUUUUUAUGCAAAAAAUAUUGAGAUAUAACUCAUAUGCCAUAAAAUUGAGCAUUUUAAAGCAUACAAUUAAUAUGUUCACAAGGUUGUGCAAACAUCACCACUACCUAAUUCCAGAACAUUUCUAUCACCCACAAAAGAAACCCCCACCCAUUAGCAGUCACUCCCAUUUCCCUCUUCCUCCAGCCCCUGGCACCUACUAAUCUACUUUCUAUUCUAUGGAUCUGCCUAAAUCAUACCAUAUGUGGCCACCUGUGUCUGGUUUCUUUCACUGAGCAUAAUAUUUUCAAGGUUCAACCAUGUUGUAGCAUCUCUAGCAAUACUUUAUUCUUUUUAUGGCUGAAUAAUUUUCCACUGUAUGGAUAUAUCACAUUUUGUUUAUCUGUUUAUCAGUUGAUGAACAUUUGGGUUGUUUCUACUUUUUGACUAUUAUGAAUAUCACUGCUCUGAACACCCACAUACAAGUUUUUGUGUGAACACAUUUUCAAUUUUCUUGGAUAUAUACCUAGGAGUAGAACUGCUGGAUCAUAUGGUAAAUUUGUUUAACUUUUUUAGGAACCGCCAAACAAUUUUCCACAGUGGUUGUACCAUUUUACAAUCCCACCACUAGGCUUCCAACUGCUACACAUCUUCACCAACAUUUGAUAUUUUUCAUUUUUUGAUGAGAGCCAUCCUAAUGGAUGUGAAGUGGUAUCCCAUUGUGGUUUUAAUUUGCAAUGACCUUGCAACUAAUGAUGUUGAGCAUUUUUCAUGUGCUUAUUAUAUAUCCUCCUUGUAGAAAUGUCUAUUCAAAUCCUUUGCCAAUUUCUAAUUGAGUUAUUUGUCUUUUACACACAUUUUUAACUAAGUGGUUAGUAGAAGCCAUUUUGGUUUUUGUUGAAAUAUAAAGAAAUGGAGAAGUAGUGAUACGCUCAAUGAACUGAUUAUUUCUAUUAUAUUGCUCUUACUCAAUAUUACUGAUAAUAAAUUAAAAUAACACCAGAAGGUAAUUAAUUGGCAGCUUGUUGGAUUUCCAUCAUUGCCCUUGCCCAUCUACAGUCCCUUUUGGGAGAUAUAUUUGCCUCUAGCCACUGCUGUAGAGUCACCCUUAGGAAGUCAUAGGGUGAUUCCACCUUAUAUCCACAGAUGAAUAGUCAGGAGGUUGGCACCUGACCCCAAACAAACCAAUCUACUACAGUGGCCAGCAAUCCAUGCCAUGUGAAAAAUAAGUUGGCUCAAUCAGAUUUCCUCUCUUUAAAAUUAGAACUAAGAAGUAAUGAGAACAAGAUGAGUUAGAACCAAAACUGAGAGGAUACUAUGAAGCUUAUCAUGACAAGCUAAAGUUAUAAUGGAACAUAGAUAUUAGAGGAGAAAAGAUUCAGAGAGAGAAAGAGAGAAGGUGAUUUUUAGCACUGACUUGAUUCCUUAGGCUUUCCAGGGCCUUUCCAGAUCCAUUUACAGAUCUUGUUUUUAUAAUAACUAUCCUCCGCUUUUUUCUUGAGGGUAUUUAGGAGAAACUCUGUCUCUUGCAGUGACAGUCCUAUUAGAAUACUCUAUAAUAACUUUGUAUUUAAUAAAUGCCUAAGACAAAAUGUGGAAUAGUAAAACUUUAGGACAGAUAUUAAUCUAUUCUAAAGUAGCAAAUAAUGUCAUCUAAGACAGAUAAAUAUGUGAUCAAUUAAAGUGUGUCACAAUGAACAGAGUACACUGAAGGGAAAAGUGAAUUAGGUUGUCUAUGCAGGUUGAAGAAAGACCUUCCUGGAUGAGAUGUGCCAUGUUCUGCCACUUAAAGGGAAAAAAAAGGCAGACAAUAAGAAGGAAACUUGUUCAUGGAUGAAGGCAACUAGGGACUAGUUAAUGAAAAGUACAUGUCAAAUUGGAGAGGGAACUUAAAAGGGAAACAAGCUGUACUCAUCAGGAAACAAGAAAGGUUAAAAAUGAGUAUUCAAAUCAAUGAAUUUGAAAAAGAGCAACAGAGAUAACCCAAAUAAGUAAUAAGGAAAGAAAUCAAUGAAUUAUAGAAACAAUAUAAAGAUUUAGAAAAGCAAAAGUUGGUUCUUUUAAAGGAUUAAUAAAAUAUAACUUUUGCCAGACUAAUCAAGAAAAAAAAAGAUGAAUGUGAACAAAACACACUAGGAAAAAAAGGACUACAAUACAGAUACAACUGUGGUUCAUACAAAUCAACAUC